GGGCUGUACACAUGAGUGAAGGUGUCUGCAGAGACCAGAUGAGGGCAUCAGAUCCUCUGGAGAUGGAGUUAUAGGAGGCUGUAACUCUUCUGAUGUGGUUGCUGGGAGCCCAACUUGGGUCCUCUGCAAGAACUUAAGAACUGAGGCCAUCUCUCCAAGCCCUUUAGACUAAACCAGGAAGAGGGCCUUUCAAGGUGCUCAGCUUUCUUAGACCGUAUCUGCUAGUGUGAGGGUAGCUAAGAGUCAGUUUUGUGCACCCCCACAGACAUAACGGUGGCUACACUCUUCAUGGCUUGAGAUAAAGACUGUCAAUGUAGACCAGGCUGCUCUCAAAUUUGGAAUCCUCCUGUCUUAGUCUUUUGAGUAUUGGGAUUAUUGCAUAGAAUGGCUGCAUAUGGUAACAACACCCAUUAAGCAAAGGCCCCUACUGUGAACACACGACUAAAAGAAUUAAAGAAAAAAAAUUAGCCAGAUACCUGUGAACGCAUUUAGCUCAAUUUUCUUCUAAGGCAGGUUAACUAUUAAGUCUCAUUUUUGAGACACUUCCUUUAGAACUCAGCAACAUGUUUCCUAAGUAGAAAUCUAUUACGGAUAGAUACAGGCUUUAGUUCUACCAGGAAGCUCAAUGUUCAAGCUUUGCUAUGGUGGCAUCCCUAAAACA
rnacentral:lncRNA from 1 species